rnacentral:rRNA from 1 species
UACGUAGGUGGCAAGCGUUACUCGGAAUCACUAGGCGUAAAGCGCAGGUAGGAGGUUUGGUAAGUCUAUUGUGAAAGCUCCCGGCUUAACUGGGAGAGGUCAAUGGAAACUACCAGGCUGGAGUGCGGUAGAGGUAGCUGGAAUUCCCGGUGUAGCGGUGAAAUGCGCAGAUAUCAGGAGGAACACCGGUGGCGAAGGCGGGUCUCUGGGCCGUAACUGACGCUGAGGAGCGAAAGCAUGGGGAGCGAACAGG